rnacentral:tRNA from 1 species
GCCUCCUUGGCUUAGUGGUACAGCGUGCCACUCGUAUUUUCGCACGAAAUGGCAAGAUCGGGUGUUCGAUUCACCCAGGAGGCA